rnacentral:rRNA from 1 species
CGGAUUGUAGUCUGCAACUCGACUACAUGAAACUGGAAUCGCUAGUAAUCGCAGAUCAGAAUGCUGCGGUGAAUACGUUCCCGGGUCUUGUACACACCGCCCGUCACACCAUGGGAGUCGGAAAUGCCCGAAGCCGGUGACCCAACCAAAAGGAGGGAGCCGUCGAAGGCAGGUCUGAUAACUGGGGUGAAGUCGUAACAAGGUAUC